rnacentral:misc_RNA from 1 species
CUUUUCUGAAGAACGAAGAACAAUAGUUUUUCCUCAAAAUUUCCGUCAAAAUUGAUCACAGAUUCCUUGUGGAAGAUUGAAGAGCUGAAGAACAUGAAUGUCCUCAUAGAUUCUUUGUCAAAAAAGAGUUGUUCAGCCGGAUUUCAUAUAUGAACAAAAUUCUUCAAACGAACACGACCCACGUCUUAAACCUUUCGGUUUGUUGGAAUAGUGUUUACCAGGUAAGGAAUUCUAUCUCUAAAAGUCUUAAGUCUAGAUUUAGGGCUUUGAUAUUCU